GAAAGCCGAAUCCAAAAGGCCCGAAGAAAGAAGUACUAAGACUAUUAUUAGUCGAGUGACCGUGUCUGCCCCCGGUACCUCUUCGACCACCACCGUGAAAACCUACAAGAUUAAAUGUUUAUAACAUUUCUUCUUUGAAAAAUAAAAUCGAGGAAAAAUAGCACAUUGUGUAACAAGUGCGGAAGGUUGAGUGAAGAGUGCAUUUACCCGCACGAGUGGGAAAAGCCGAUCUGCAUGUAUUACACUUUUUUUUUGUUGCCAGUAUGUCGAGGUGUGGUCCCUUGAGAGUUUUGGGUCCUCACAAAUUGACAGGUUAGCUAAGAUUAAAUUAGGUUCGCAAAAGCGAUGAAGUGCCAGUAAUUCUGCGAAAGUUAUCAUAUGCGUGUCGCAAGAUGACGUGCAUGCGAGUGUAGUAACGAAGGUAUGAAAAAUGAUCAAACGUGCAGAAAAAGUCAUGCUGGAAAGUUUUUCACUAUGACUUACGCCAUCUAUUAUAGGA